rnacentral:rRNA from 1 species
AUUGAACGCUGGCGGCAUGCCUUACACAUGCAAGUCGAACGGCAGCACGGGUGCUUGCACCUGGUGGCGAGUGGCGAACGGGUGAGUAAUACAACGGAACAUGUCCUGUAGUGGGGGAUAGCCCGGCGAAAGCCGGAUUAAUACCGCAUACGAUCUACGGAUGAAAGCGGGGGACCUUCGGGCCUCGCGCUAUAGGGUUGGCCGAUGGCUGAUUAGCUAGUUGGUGGGGUAAAGGCCUACCAAGGCGACGAUCAGUAGCUGGUCUGAGAGGACGACCAGCCACACUGGGACUGAGACACGGCCCAGACUCCUACGGGAGGCAGCAGUGGGGAAUUUUGGACAAUGGGCGAAAGCCUGAUCCAGCAAUGCCGCGUGUGUGAAGAAGGCCUUCGGGUUGUAAAGCACUUUUGUCCGGAAAGAAAUCCUUGGCCCUAAUACGGUCGGGGGAUGACGGUACCGGAAGAAUAAGCACCGGCUAACUACGU